rnacentral:rRNA from 1 species
ACCUGCCCUAUGAUAUAUAUUAAAUGGCCGCGAUAUUUUGAUCGUGCAAAGGUAGCAUAAUCAUUAGUUUUUUAAUUGAGAACUGGUAUGAAAGGUUGAACGAAAAAAAAACUGUCUCAAUUUAAUUUAAUUAGAAUUUUAUUUUUAAGUAAAAAAGCUUAAAUAUAUUUAAAAGACGAGAAGACCCUAUAGAGUUUUAUAAUUAAUAUUAUAAAAAAAAUAUUUAGUAUAUAAAUUUUUAUUUUUUUAUUAAUUAUUUAGUUGGGGUGAUUGAAAAAUUUAAUAAACUUUUUUUUAUUAUUGUAACAUUAAUAUAUGAUAAAUUGAUCCAUAUUUUAUGAUUAAAAGAUUAAAUU